AGAGUUUGAUCCUGGCUCAGGACGAACGCUGGCGGCGUGCCUAAUACAUGCAAGUCGAACGCUUCUUUCCUCCCGAGUGCUUGCACUCAAUUGGAAAGAGGAGUGGCGGACGGGUGAGUAACACGUGGGUAACCUACCCAUCAGAGGGGGAUAACACUUGGAAACAGGUGCUAAUACCGCAUAACAGUUUAUGCCGCAUGGCAUAAGAGUGAAAGGCGCUUUCGGGUGUCGYUGAUGGAUGGACCCGCGGUGCAUUAGCUAGUUGGUGAGGUAACGGCUCACCAAGGCCACGAUGCAUAGCCGACCUGAGAGGGUGAUCGGCCACACUGGGACUGAGACACGGCCCAGACUCCUACGGGAGGCAGCAGUAGGGAAUCUUCGGCAAUGGACGAAAGUCUGACCGAGCAACGCCGCGUGAGUGAAGAAGGUUUUCGGAUCGUAAAACUCUGUUGUUAGAGAAGAACAAGGACGUUAGUAACUGAACGUCCCCUGACGGUAUCUAACCAGAAAGCCACGGCUAACUACGUGCCAGCAGCCGCGGUAAUACGUAGGUGGCAAGCGUUGUCCGGAUUUAUUGGGCGUAAAGCGAGCGCAGGCGGUUUCUUAAGUCUGAUGUGAAAGCCCCCGGCUCAACCGGGGAGGGUCAUUGGAAACUGGGAGACUUGAGUGCAGAAGAGGAGAGUGGAAUUCCAUGUGUAGCGGUGAAAUGCGUAGAUAUAUGGAGGAACACCAGUGGCGAAAGCGGCUCUCUGGUCUGUAACUGACGCUGAAGCUCGAAAGCSUGGGGAGCNAACAGGAUUAGAUACCCUGGUAGUCCACGCCGUAAACGAUGANUGCUAARUGUUGGAAGGUUUCCGCCCUUCAGUGCUGCCAGCNAAACGCCNUUAAGCACUCCGCCUGGGGGAGUACGACCGCCAAGGUUGAAACCCCAANGAAU
rnacentral:rRNA from 1 species